GCCGGGUGUGGUGGCGCGUGCCUGUAAUCCAAGUUACCGGGAGGUUGAGACUGGUGGAUCGUUUGAGCUCAGGAUCUCUGAGCUGCAGUGGACUAUGUCGAUCGGGUGUCCCAAUAAGUUCGGUAUCGAUAUGGUGCUCCUGGGGGAGGCCGGGACCACCAGGUUGUCUAAGGAGGGGUGCACCGGCCCAGGUCGGAAACGGAGCAGGCCAAAGCCCCCGUGCUGCUCAGUAGUGGGAUCGCGCCUGUGAAUAGAGGCUGUAGUGCAGCCUGAGUAAUACAGUGGGACCCAGUCUUUU
ensembl:misc_RNA Metazoa_SRP Metazoan signal recognition particle RNA